GGUGGAACCCGGCCCCCCACCGGUGUUUGUCCUACAGGGGAGAGCAUCAAACCACCAUAAGGUGCUUUGGUAAAGAGCCAAGGUAUUGAGCGUUAUGGAAAAGGCUGCGUCAUGAGCGUGGUCAGGU
rfam:Metagenome sequence AHAI7062.y1, whole genome shotgun sequence.